UCUGGGCGCCUCUCUCUCUCUCCUCCUCUCACUUUCUUUAAGCUAAGCGGGGAGUGGAAGAUGAUGCUUCAGGAAACCAGGAUGAACUCAUUAUUAUGUUGUGAAACUAAAUCCAUAAAGCAGUCAUGAUGAGUAACUCCGGGACUCGUCGUGAUUGGGCAGUAACACACAGUUUUAUCAUCUAGAGAAUUCCUGUGUGCUCCAAGCGAGUGCGGAUUUACAACAAGGUUUCCUCUCCACUGUCAAGAAAUCAGGCUACCAAGCCACUGUUUAUUUAAUUACCGUUAAUUUUUUACUUCUUUUCCAUCAGUUUGACAAGUUUUGUGUGAUUUAAUUGUGAACUUUACAACAUUUGGUGCCUUUCUUAAAGCUGUAGCUCCUGGAUUCAUAUGAUUAUGGGAGAAACUCAGUGGUUUUUUUUUUAAUUUAGUUUUUAGCCUGUGUGUUUGUAGAUAUGUGCUUGAAGACACAAACUUUAAAGGCACGAAAAGAAAAAGGUACAAGACAAAUAAAAUUAUCCAAAAAUGCAUUGGUUUUUGUAA